UACGUAGGGCGCAAGCGUUGUCCGGAAUUAUUGGGCGUAAAGCGCGUGUAGGCGGACCACCAAGUCGGACGUGAAAGCCCUGAGCUCAACUCAGGAACUGCAUCCGAAACUGGCGGUCUGGAGUAGUGGAGAGGAAAGCAGAAUUCCUGGUGUAGAGGUGAAAUUCGUAGAUAUCAGGAGGAACACCGGUGGCGAAGGCGGCUUUCUGGACACUUACUGACGCUGAGACGCGAAAGCGUGGGGAGCAAACAGG
rnacentral:rRNA from 1 species